AAGCUACUGGGGGAGCCUAAGCUCCCCCCCAAGUAGGUGCGUGCUUUGUUUUUAUUAUUAUGGCGGGCUUGUUGUUUUUGUUGGUUUACCCGUUCCAUUAAGUCAGAGACUCUAGGAAAACCUCCCAAGCUGGGAGUUAGUAGCAAACGGAUUGCUUUGGAUGCUGACGCUACCAUGGUCGCGUGGCGACCUAACCAGUACAGGCACUGCCUUCGAGCAGUU
rnacentral:sRNA from 1 species